GUAGGUGGCAAGCGUUGUCCGGAAUUAUUGGGCGUAAAGCGCGCGCAGGUGGUUCUUUAAGUCUGAUGUGAAGGCCCCCGGCUCAACCGGGGAGGGUCAUUGGAAACUGGGGAACUUGAGUGCAGGAGAGGAAAGUGGAAUUCCACGUGUAGCGGUGAAAUGCGUAGAUAUGUGGAGGAACACCAGUGGCGAAGGCGACUUUCUGGCCUGUAACUGACACUGAGGCGCGAAAGCGUGGGGAGCAAACAGGGAUUAGAUACCCUGGUAGUCCACGCCGUAAACGAUGAGUGCUAAGUGUUGGGGGGGUUUCCCGCCCCUCAGUGCUGCAGCUAACGCAUUAAGCACUCCGCCUGGGGAUACGGUCGCAAGACUG
rnacentral:rRNA from 1 species